GACGGUGACACGGAGCUGGGACAGUGACACGGGUGUCACACGGGUGUCACACGGAUGUGACAAUGACACGGAGCUGGGACAGUGACACAGAGGUCACAUGGAUGUGACGGUGACACGGAGCUGGGACAGUGACACGGAUGUGACACGGAUGUCACACAGAUGUGACGGUGACACAGAGCUGGGACAGUGACACGGAUGUCACACAAGGACAAGGAUGUCACACAGUGCCACAGGAUGUCACACGGAUGUCACACAGUGUCACACGGUAUCACAGCUGGUGACACGGAUGUCACACGGGGACAGGGGUGUCACACAAUGUCACACAGAUGUCACAGCUGGUGACACGUCACACAGUGUCACACGGGGACACGGAUGUCACACGGUGUCACAGGAUGUCACAGCUGGUGACACGGAUGUCACAGAGGGACAAGGAUGUCACACGGUGUCAUGCGGUGACACGGAUGGUGACAUGGAUGUCACACGCUGACAAGGACAUCACACGGUGUCACAGGGACACAGUGGGACACGGUGGCACGCGGAUGUCACACAGGGACCUGGAUGUCACACAGUGUCACAAGAUGUCACACGGGGACACGGAUGGUGACACCGAUGUCACACGGGGACAAGGACCUCACACGGAUGUCCCACGGUGACACAGCUGGUGACACGGAUGUCGCACAGGGACAUCACACGGUGUCACAGGGACACGGAUGCCACACGGACGUCACACGGAUGUCACACAAGGACAAGGAUGUCACACGGUGUCACAGGGACACGGGUGUCACACGGUGACACACAGAUGUCACACGGGGACACGGAUGGUGACACCGAUGUCACAUGGGGACAAGGACGUCACACGGAUGUCACACAACGUCACAGGAUGUCCCAGCUGGUGACACGGAUGUC